rnacentral:rRNA from 1 species
GAUGAACGCUGGCGGCGUGCCUAAUACAUGCAAGUCGAGCGAACGGACGAGAAGCUUGCUUCUCUGAUGUUAGCGGCGGACGGGUGAGUAACACGUGGAUAACCUACCUAUAAGACUGGGAUAACUUCGGGAAACCGGAGCUAAUACCGGAUGAUAUUUUGAACCGCAUGGUUCAAAAGUGAAAGACGGUCUUGCUGUCACUUAUAGAUGGAUCAGCGCUGCAUUAGCUAGUUGGUAAGGUAACGGCUUACCAAGGCAACGAUGCAUAGCCGACCUGAGAGGGUGAUCGGCCACACUGGAACUGAGACACGGUCCAGACUCCUACGGGAGGCAGCAGUAGGGAAUCUUCCGCAAAGGGCGAAAGCCUGACGGAGCAACGCCGCGUGAGUGAUGAAGGUCUUCGGAUCGUAAAACUCUGUUAUUAGGGAAGAACAUAUGUGUAAGUAACUGUGCACAUCUUGACGGUACCUAAUCAGAAAGCCACGGCUAACUACGUG